rnacentral:rRNA from 1 species
CUGGGUUUAGAACGUCGUGAGACAGUUCGGUCCCUAUCUACCGUGGGCGCUGGAAAUUUGAGAGGAUCUGCUCCUAGUACGAGAGGACCAGAGUGGACGAACCUCUGGUGUACCGGUUGUGACGCCAGUCGCAUCGCCGGGUAGCUAUGUUCGGAAGGGAUAACCGCUGAAAGCAUCUAAGCGGGAAGCCUACCUCAAGAUAAGAUUUCCCUAGGACUUUAUGUCCUCUAAAGAGCCGUUCGAGACUAGGACGUUGAUAGGUUGGAUGUGGAAGCAUAGUGAUAUGUGAAGCUGACCAAUACUAAUUGCUCGUGAGGCUUGACUAUACAACACCCAAGCAGUUG